AAAUUGAAGAGUUUGAUCAUGGCUCAGAUUGAACGCUGGCGGCAGGCCUAACACAUGCAAGUCGAACGGUAACAGGAAGCAGCUUGCUGCUUUGCUGACGAGUGGCGGACGGGUGAGUAAUGUCUGGGAAACUGCCUGAUGGAGGGGGAUAACUACUGGAAACGGUGGCUAAUACCGCAUAACGUCGCAAGACCAAAGAGGGGGACCUUCGGGCCUCUUGCCAUCAGAUGUGCCCAGAUGGGAUUAGCUUGUUGGUGAGGUAACGGCUCACCAAGGCGACGAUCCCUAGCUGGUCUGAGAGGAUGACCAGCCACACUGGAACUGAGACACGGUCCAGACUCCUACGGGAGGCAGCAGUGGGGAAUAUUGCACAAUGGGCGCAGGCCUGAUGCAGCCAUGCCGCGUGUAUGAAGAAGGCCUUCGGGUUGUAAAGUACUUUCAGCGGGGAGGAAGGUGUUG
rnacentral:rRNA from 1 species